GAAAAUGUAGUUCAGUAGUAGAAUGUGUGCUUAUCAUGUGCAAGGCCCUGGGUUCAAUUCCCAGCAUAAACA
rnacentral:tRNA from 1 species